CGGGCAAUGAUGUCAUACUCAAAUCUGUCAGUCCUCAGACCAUCCCUGGUGAUAACACGGUUUUCCGGAGUGCUGAGCAG
rnacentral:snoRNA from 1 species